AACUGCGAAUGGCUCAUUAAAUCAGUUAUCGUUUAUUUGAUAGUACCUUACUACAUGGAUACCUGUGGUAAUUCUAGAGCUAAUACAUGCUGAAAACCCCGACUUCGGAAGGGGUGUAUUUAUUAGAUAAAAAACCAAUGCCCUUCGGGGCUCCUUGGUGAUUCAUAAUAACUUAACGAAUCGCAUGGCCUUGCGCCGGCGAUGGUUCAUUCAAAUUUCUGCCCUAUCAACUUUCGAUGGUAGGAUAGUGGCCUACCAUGGUGGCAACGGGUAACGGGGAAUUAGGGUUCGAUUCCGGAGAGGGAGCCUGAGAAACGGCUACCACAUCCAAGGAAGGCAGCAGGCGCGCAAAUUACCCAAUCCCGAUACGGGGAGGUAGUGACAAUAAAUACUGAUACGGGGCUCUUUUGGGUCUCGUAAUUGGAAUGAGUACAAUCUAAAUCCCUUAACGAGGAACAAUUGGAGGGCAAGUCUGGUGCCAGCAGCCGCGGUAAUUCCAGCUCCAAUAGCGUAUAUUAAAGUUGUUGCAGUUAAAAAGCUCGUAGUUGAACCUUGGGUCUGGCUGGCCGGUCCGCCUCACCGCGAGUACUGGUCCGGCUGGACCUUUCCUUCUGGGGAACCCCAUGGCCUUCACUGGCUGUGGGGGGAACCAGGACUUUUACUGUGAAAAAAUUAGAGUGUUCAAAGCAGGCCUUUGCUCGAAUACAUUAGCAUGGAAUAAUAGAAUAGGACGUGCGGUUCUAUUUUGUUGGUUUCUAGGACCGCCGUAAUGAUUAAUAGGGAUAGUCGGGGGCGUCAGUAUUCAGCUGUCAGAGGUGAAAUUCUUGGAUUUGCUGAAGACUAACUACUGCGAAAGCAUUCGCCAAGGAUGUUUUCAUUAAUCAGGGAACGAAAGUUAGGGGAUCGAAGACGAUCAGAUACCGUCGUAGUCUUAACCAUAAACUAUGCCGACUAGGGAUCGGACGGUGUUUCUAUUAUGACCCGUUCGGCACCUUACGAGAAAUCAAAGUUU
rnacentral:rRNA from 1 species